rnacentral:rRNA from 1 species
AUUGAACGCUGGCGGCAUGCCUUACACAUGCAAGUCGAACGGCAGCACGGGAGCAAUCCUGGUGGCGAGUGGCGAACGGGUGAGUAAUAUAUCGGAACGUGCCCAGUCGUGGGGAUAACGUAGCGAAAGGCUACGCUAAUACCGCAUACGAUCUAUGGAUGAAAGCGGGGGAUCGCAAGACCUCGCGCGAUUGGAGCGGCCGAUAUCAGAUUAGGUAGUUGGUGAGGUAAAGGCUCACCAAGCCGACGAUCUGUAGCUGGUCUGAGAGGACGACCAGCCACACUGGAACUGAGACACGGUCCAGACUCCUACGGGAGCAGCAGUGGGG